GUGGGAUGCUUCUGCCCCACGAUGGGAUGCUGCCCCACAGUGGGAUGGUACCCCCUGGUGGGAUGCCUCUGCCUGUGGUGGGAUGAUACCUCACUGUGGGAUGCUUCUGCCCCUGGUGGGAUGGUACCCCAUGGUGGGAUGCUUCUGCCUGUGGUGGGAUGACACCCCACGGUGGGAUGCGCUGUGGUGGGAUGAUACCCCCCGGUGGGAUGCUUCUGCCCUGUGGUGAGAUGCUUCUGUCCCAUGGUGGGAUGGUACCCCACAGUGGGAUGGUACCCCAUGGUGGGAUGCUUCUGCCUGUGGUGGGAUGACACCCCACGGUGGGAUGCUUCUGCCCUGUGGUGGGAUACUUCUGCCCCACAGUGGGAUGCUUCUAUCCCUUCCUACACCCACUGGCCCUCCCAUUCCCACUGCCACCCCACUGCGAUGGGCAGGGGCAAGGGAGCAGCCUGGGGAGCCAUGGGGUCACCCCUUCCCGGAGGUGCCUGAUACCUUGUUUACACGCAGCCUGAGCUCCAUGUCAGGCUGGGGAAUUAUUCCCAGGUCCGGUUCAUCCACCUCCAGCGUUUUGGGGGAUACAGGCCACCUUCUUCUGGCUCCGCCUUGGGUUAAGACUUUCGUGGCCGUGGCUUGUCUCUCCUUUCUAAAGACAACUGAGAACUCUAACUUAGUUAGAGGCAACUGCUAAACUCCUCCCAGCUUUCCCCGCUCAUCCACAUUCCUGGGAAACUUUGGGAAUCACAACUUGGGGAUCUGGGUACAAAAUCAGGGGGGUGUCACAUAGGGUUUUGGGGGCUAAACUGUCGUUCUGAAUCAGGUAUCAGCUUAAAAAUCCCUGCGGGUUCGAGAGGACAAUAGUCUUUAGGUACCUUUUGGCAAAAUCUUUCUAGCCCGUAACAAGUGCUUUUUUUGGUUUUUCUACCUUUUUCAUACUCUUUUUCUAGUCUUCUCCGGAGAAGACCAGUUUGUUCUUACACUGGACUCCAAACUUUUGGCACCUGGGAAUGUUUCUACGACGCCAAUAGCCUAGAUGGUCCCAGCCCCCCAACCCCAUGGUGGCUUUUGCCCCCCCAACCCCCCCAACCCUCCCGUUUCAAUCUUUUUACUGCAGCUCCCGUAGCUUUAGGACGAAGGACGGACGAAGAGGUUCGCUCUGAGGCUGGUUCCCCUCGUGGUGUCACAAGGCAGACAUGUAAAUACCCCAAAAAUACCCCCUCCCGGGUUUGUCUUUUCUUUUUAACGCUGAUUUACCAUCACAGAGAGCAAAGCUGACCCCGGGGGCUAUGGAGGGGGGGGGGGAUGAUGGGGGCUUGCCCCCCAACCCUUCUCAAACGAAGCAGUUUGUAAUAAUUUUUUUAACGACUCGCACAUUUUACAACUUGAAUUCUUAAUAAACAAAC
rnacentral:lncRNA from 1 species